rnacentral:rRNA from 1 species
CUAAUACAUGCAAGUCGAGCGCGGGAAGCAGGCAGAUCCUCUUCGGAGGUGACGCCUGUGGAACGAGCGGCGGACGGGUGAGUAACACGUGGGCAACCUGCCUGUAAGACUGGGAUAACCCCGGGAAACCGGGGCUAAUACCGGAUAAUACUUUUCGUUGCAUAACGAGAAGUUGAAAGGCGGCUUUUAGCUGUCACUUACAGAUGGGCCCGCGGCGCAUUAGCUAGUUGGUAAGGUAACGGCUUACCAAGGCGACGAUGCGUAGCCGACCUGAGAGGGUGAUCGGCCACACUGGGACUGAGACACGGCCCAGACUCCUACGGGAGGCAGCAGUAGGGAAUCUUCCGCAAUGGACGAAAGUCUGACGGAGCAACGCCGCGUGAGUGAUGAAGGUUUUCGGAUCGUAAAACUCUGUUGUCAGGGAAGAACAAGUGCCGUUCAAAUAGGGCGGCACCUUGACGGUACCUGACCAGAAAGCCCCGGCUAACUACGUGCCAGCAGCCGCGGUAAUACGUAGGGGGCAAGCGUUGUCCGGAAUUAUUGGGCGUAAAGCGCGCGCAGGCGGUCCUUUAAGUCUGAUGUGAAAGCCCACGGCUUAACCGUGGAGGGCCAUUGGAAACUGGAGGACUUGAGUACAGAAGAGGAGAGUGGAAUUCCACGUGUAGCGGUGAAAUGCGUAGAGAUGUGGAGGAACACCAGUGGCGAAGGCGACUCUCUGGUCUGUAACUGACGCUGAGGUGCGAAAGCGUGGGGAGCGAACAGGAUUAGAUACCCUGGUAGUCCACGCCGUAAACGAUGAGUGCUAGGUGUUAGGGGGUUUCCGCCCCUUAGUGCUGAAGUUAACGCAUUAAGCACUCCGCCUGGGGAGUACGGCCGCAAGGCUGAAACUCAAAAGAAUUGACGGGGGCCCGCACAAGCGGUGGAGCAUGUGGUUUAAUUCGAAGCAACGCGAAGAACCUUACCAGGUCUUGACAUCCUCUGCCAAUCCUAGAGAUAGGAUGUUCCCUUCGGGGACAGAGUGACAGGUGGUGCAUGGUUGUCGUCAGCUCGUGUCGUGAGAUGUUGGGUUAAGUCCCGCAACGAGCGCAACCCUUGAUCUUAGUUGCCAGCAUUUAGUUGGGCACUCUAAGGUGACUGCCGGUGACAAACCGGAGGAAGGUGGGGAUGACGUCAAAUCAUCAUGCCCCUUAUGACCGGGGCUAC